rnacentral:rRNA from 1 species
AUUGAACGCUGGCGGCAGGCCUAACACAUGCAAGUCGAGCGAGCGACGGACGGGUGAGUAAUGUAUGGGGAUCUGCCCGAUCGAGGGGGCUAACUACUGGAAACGGUGGCUAAUACCGCAUACUAUCGGAUGAACCCAUAUGGGAGUAGCUAGUCGGUGGGGUAAAGGCUCACCUAGGCGACGAUCUCUAGCUGGUCUGAGAGGAUGAUCAGCCACACUGGGACUGAGACACGGUCCAGACUCCUACGGGAGGCAGCAGUGGGGAAUAUUGCACAAUGGGCGCAAGCCUGAUAGAGCCACGCCGCGUGAAUGAAGAAGGCCUUCGGGUUGUAAAGUACUGUCAGCGAGGAGGCGUUACUCGAAGAAGAAGCAACGGCUAACUACGUGCCAGCCGCCGCGGUAAUUC